rnacentral:lncRNA from 1 species
AGAACCAUACUCGUGUUGAGAUUUCACUCACCUUCAAGGAGGAUGGGUCUCCCAAGCGAGCACAGCUCAUCGGGGUGCAUGGGGCUGGCCACUAACAUCCUUGCCUUGUGUGUGCUCUGGGGACCAGCCAUGGCUAUGACUGUGUGUUUGUUGAACUUGGUGCAGGCGAAGGCAGGAGCUGCCCACGCCUUUCUCCACGACCUUCUAGCUCUAGCCUUGACUGGAAGCUUGGCCUUGCUCCUUUUGUUCUAGAAUUCAUUCUGUCUCCAGACAGCUUUCUAGGUAAAGCUCCCAGGAGCUGAAGUACAUUCUGAUCACUGACUCCUUCUCAACUCCCCGCAGGAGCCCAGCAGGGGAAGAACAAGGUGGGGCUCCUGGUGCUAAAAGCUGGAGAGAGGACAAGACCCAGGGUCUCUAUGAAUAGCGGGAUUGGAUGGCCCGAGGAGGAGGAGGCGACAGAAAAGAAGACAGACAGGGGAGCGUGAAACCUGUCUUCUUCUCAUUUAGUAUCUCAAACUUCUUGGUGUCAGGACCACUUGACAUCCUUAACAAUUAUCGAGGAUCCCAAAGAGCUUUUUGUUAUGUAGGUUUUAUCUAUCGAUAUGGACCAUAUUAGGAAUUAAAACUGUGAAAUAUACAAAAUAUGUAUUCAUUUAAAAAUCAAUGACAGUGAACCCAUUACAUGUUAGCA